rnacentral:lncRNA from 1 species
UGGGUCUUUGAUCUAAUCGCUCCCACCUCUAUCACUCCUAAGGUCCUGGACUUGAAGCCCUUUUUCCUAUCCUAGAAUUCCUACCACCUCUGCCAAAUAAAGUUAGCCAUACUCAGAGACAAGGACCAGCUCCUUGUAAAGCCCUUUGAUAGGAAAAUAUUCUUCUGCUGCUCCUACCUCACAACCUUUCUUAGUGGCGAUAGAGUGAUCAAUGGCCCC